rnacentral:rRNA from 1 species
CACGUAGGGCGCAAGCGUUGUCCGGAAUUAUUGGGCGUAAAGAGCUCGUAGGCGGUCUGUUGCGUCUGCUGUGAAAACUCGGGGCUUAACCCCGAGCCUGCAGUGGAUACGGGCAGACUAGAGGUAGGUAGGGGAGACUGGAAUUCCUGGUGUAGCGGUGAAAUGCGCAGAUAUCAGGAGGAACACCGGUGGCGAAGGCGGGUCUCUGGGCCGAUAUUGACGCUGAGGAGCGAAAGCGUGGGGAGCAAACAGG